AGUAUAUUUCAGCAAAACUUCCGAAAGGAAGCGACGCAAAGCUAGAGGGUCUAAGGGCGGCAAACCGCCUAUGACAGCCAGUUGCCCCG
rnacentral:ncRNA from 1 species